GCGAGAGUGGCGGAACUGGCAGACGCACCAGAUUCAGGUUCUGGCGCCCGCAAGGGUAUAGGGGUUCGAUUCCCCUCUCUCGCA
rnacentral:tRNA from 1 species